CCAAGAUUAUAGCAACUUGUUUGUGCUUUUUUAUAGUUUCAACUCUUUCACAUGCAAAUUCCCCUGCUUUGUUUCUUUAAGAAAUUUCUGCUGCCUGUCUUUGUAAUUAUCAAAUGUUAUUUACUAAAUUAAAAUUGUUUGGUUUGGGUCCUCACCGUAAUCCAUAUAUGCACUUGCAGAUUCAGAGUCUCAUUGCCCUUAACACUCCCCUCUCUACUUAAAUAUGAGAAUCCAUUAAGUUCAGCUAGUGUGAAGUGCUUGUGCUAGUCAAUAUAUUCUGAACCUUGGUAGAAGACAAUAUUUUUUCAUAUUAGUUGAAUGCUUAUUGUGCUAAAGGCCUCAGCAGCAAUACCAUUCAGCUGUUGCAUGCCACAAAAAAACUAUUGUCGGAUGGAGGAUAUGGGGAAAAUAAAAUAUAUCAUAUUCUGACAUAGAUUGCAAUUACUUCUUGAGAGAACAGGGGAGAGAGACCAAUUUUUUUUCUUAGUAAGAGUGUAUUUCAGGACAUCGAUACUGCUUAUAUCAAGUUACCCGUGGAAGGGAAGGUUAGAAUAGGGAGACUCGAGGUCAACCUUUUGAGUACGAAUUCUUUUUGGAAAUAAAAUUGUAGUUGUCUAAAAUCAGCUACCUGGGAUCUUUUUCUUUUUUUUUUUGAUAAAGAUGGUGCGAACUUAGCUUGGCUUCUAGAUCUGCUUGGAACCCACACCUUUCUAUUUGCAGGUCUGCUCCCCCUUCCUUGCUGUGUGCUUUCUUGUUAAAGAAUAUAUUUAAUUACUUGGUAUUUAUCUGCUUUAAAUAGCUGCUAGUCCAUUAGCACAAUGUGCUCUCAUAUUCUUGAACUUGGAAAAGUUAGUAUACUGCUAUUAAGUUGCACAUUUCUAGGCAUUGCUCAAGCCCAUCUAUCUUCUGUCCCUUUUAAAGUAUUUUUGUUCUUGUUUCUUUCCUCCUUCCACACUGCACUUUGGAGCUGAUACUUUAGUGCAUAAUAAUAUUGUACAAACAUUACAUUCUCCAUGUUGAUGCCUAAUGGUUUCUCACAGAUGUAUUCAUCAUGCUGACAUGUGGUCUCUUGCAAGUACCAGGAGUCAUUUUUCAAGAAAUUCAAUGUACUGUCUUUAGGUGCUAGACGAAAUAUGGAUGCAAUUUUUGUUUUAGUCCUUUUCCAUGCUAGUGUUAUAAGUGUUAAUUCUUAGUUGUUCUGUUGAGGACUUCAAAAUCCUAAUUGGUCAUUACAACCAUUGCUGACAAAGGCGAAAAAUAUAGAAAAACCCAAGGUUCGCUAGGGUUUGGAGUGUUAACUGCUGCUAAAGCGUACACUUUAGUAAGGAAAGGUGCAUAAUGAAGAAACAAUUAAGUUGCAUAUUUUACAGUGUGUGAAUGGAAUGGGCAUAACUCUACCUCAAAAGUUAGUUCAUGGGGAAGGAUUGUCCAAGAUCAUAUAAAGGGACUUCUUGUCCCUAAUCAACAAGAGGAUUGGACAUUUGAAGUGUGAACAAUAUAAGAUGGGGCCAACAUCUCGUGAAUAACAUUUGGGAUUGACUCGACUCUGAUACCGUGUAGAUGGAUCUAAAGGUGAGAAUUGCCCAAGCCAUAUAAAGAGAACACCUAUCCCUUUUACCAUCGAUGUGAGACUCUUCACCCCCCCCCCCUCAUGCCAGGGAUGGAUAUCUGGAGUGUGGACAAUUUCAUAUCUACUUAUUGAUUUUCUUAAACUACAUUUGUAAUUUUUGUGAUCCAAUAACUUAUUCUAUAGAGUGAGAGGGAUCGGUUGGCUUAUGAACAAAUUAUACUAAUAGAGCUUAUCUAGUGAAUAUACUCUUAUUAGUAAAUGUUUGGUUUAUUAGAUUUAAAGUGGGAUAUACUAGGUAUGACAUAAAAUAUGUGUUUGGUUGGUUUUAUACUAGAUUAAACUUUUUUUUUCAUAAUUUUAACCUUGGUCUUCUUAAAGGACAUGGUGAAAUAGUUUUUGAGAGGGCUUGGCCUUCUUAAAGGAAUUGGGGAGAAGAGUUUUUGACAACGGCAUAUUUCCAUAUUGUUGUUUUAUCUCAGGAUUAGUAAUCCUAGGAUUGUUAUCCCACAUUGAUAGGUCUAAGGAGAGGCCCUCUACCCUAAACCUUCAACCUCCUCUAUCUAGGAUCAUGUCCUCGGUGAGUUGAAGAUGUAUCAUGUCAUGGCUAAUCACCUCUAUCCAAUUUUUUCUUGGUCUACCUUUACCUCUCCUAGACCUAUAGCUGCCAAUCUGUCGCACCUUCUCAUUGGGGCAUCUAUGCUCCUCCUUUUUACAUGCAUGAACCAACUCAUUCUCGUUCCUGGAUCUUGUCCACCACUUAGGCGGUUAGGCCAGUCCCACCUUGCCCCGUAUAUGUAACUAAUUUUUUUUCUCCUAGUUUAUCCACACAUCCAUCUAAACAUUUAAUCUCCGCUAUACUCAUCCCACCUUUAGCAUGGAUAAAAAUAAUACCACAAUUGUGGAUAAAUAAUUCCUGAAUUGUUUAUACCAGUAUAAUUUUUUAAAACCAAAUGCGGGAUAUAAUAUUUCAUUAAUCCCACAUUUUAUCCCAAAAUUAUUAUGCCAUAUCCUUGUAAGUUGUAACCAUGUGACCCCUAAUAGAUUUGUUUUGCAUGAUAUAACUAUAUUCCAUUGCUGCUGUUUUAAAAAAAGAAUCUAUGGCCCUGAUGAAUUUACAUCCUAUUCCAGAAAGUACUUUUGUAUGGCUAUUUUUUGCAAGCUUCAGCACAUUUAUGCCUUCGCUGAAGCGUCAUAGUGAGGUUCAGUGACCAACCUGCUCUUCUCCUUUAUUUAAGGUUUAAGUGUGCGUUUGACUAUACUUGUUUGUGAAAUUAGGUCUUAGGCCUAACUCACACCCCAAAAGGUAGCUCAUAGGAAGGAGGACUGUCCAAGCCUUAUACGAGUCCACCCAUCUUAUUAACCACCGAUGUGGGACUUUUGUCAUUCUUUAACACCCCACCUCACGCCCAGUGCUUAGCAUCUGGUGCGUGCACAAUUUGAUUUUGGGGGCCCCAACAUCGGGUAAGAUGGGCCCUGCUAUACCUCGGGAUGAUUAUGCCUUUUGGUGUCACAUAUGAGUAGACUGGUCAUAUUGUAAUUUUCAUGCUGUAAAGAAAUAUGUUUCAUCAGAAAGAAGCAGUUGCCAGUGUCACAAAAAAAUAAGAAGCUUCUUAGAAGAUGGACGUGUCCAUGGAAUUUUCUGUCUGCAGUCUCUCGUAUAGCUUGGGCCUUGGUUGCAGUGUGGACUAAGUCAGUUAUAGAUGAACUGCAGGUUGCCAUACUGUUUUAUAAGAUAUAUCCUUCUCCUCAUUAGUGUUUUUGUGUAAGUGAAUAUAUUUGUCAUCAUUACUUUAUAAUGAUGCCUACUGUGGGCAUAUAUGUAAUCAUUAUAUUAUAAUGACUGAUUCAGCUAAUCCCUUUCAAAUUGAUGAACAUCCUCCAAAGCUGGUUUGUCCAUUUGCAAUGCAAAAGAAGAUGGUUGAUUGUCUCAGCUUGUUCCCCCCAUAGAAAACACCUAGAGGCUAGUUGAUACCCCCUUUGGUUGAGAUUUUCAUGAGUUACACUGCUUCUUUAGCCAAAAGCCAGAUGAUGCAGUUAAUUUUGAAGGGAAAUUUUUAGUUUCCAUAUCAUCUUCCAAGGGAAAUCUCUUUCCUUCGUCACUUCUACAUUUAGCUCCAUGUAUGCAGGCAUCCAACGCAUUGCAGCCAGUCAUUCUUUUCAUAUGAUGUAUACAGCAAAGAAUAUGCAUUAUGUGUAUGUAUGUGCAGGAGUCAUGAGGAGCAGCAAAGAAUUGCACAGGGCAAAAUAUGUUUGAAGGCUGAAGUUGAUGGAAUAGAGCAUGCUUGCUGCUUCUCAGCAUCUAUAUUGCUUACAGUAUGUGAACUAUAAGCAAUAUGCAUGUAAGAAGGCAGGCCAUGAUCCUAUUUCAAGGUUACUUUUCAUCUAUGCCAUACGAAGUUGCUGAUUUGCUGAGUACUGGAGAUACUUAGCCAUGACUUAUUCAAUUCUCGAGAUGGUCCGCAUUUCUAAGGGGAUAGCUGAAUGGUUGAGGCAAACCUUGGAGGAGGAGAGGAUAGGAGUAUUACAGCUUUGACAGGUUGCCUGAUGUAUUAAUUGAGGUGCAUUAUGCAAAGAGAUGAUCCUUUGUGAACAAGUUGAAUUCUGCCUGCGUAUCACAACUUUUCAGCUUCAUGUAAAAGUUGGGGACGUAGUCCAAAUUAAAUCAUGAGAAAUCUCGUCAAAUAUAUUCUUUAUUUAAUAUUUUUUUCGUUUCAAUUUGUUUGGAUGGGAACGUUUGUCCGGUUCCCAUCCUAUCAGACUUUUAAAGACUUGUUGCCUGGAGGAAGUACAUCUUGUGAUAUUAAUUUGGUUUUUUUUUUGUCUCAUCAUAAAGGGUAGGGGUGAGGUUCCUUUAAUUUAAUUUGUUUAUGGGUACAUACCUCAUUUAAUUCCUUUAGAUAUGUACUAGUAAUUGUUGGAGUAUGUCAUUUCAGAUUAUUAUUAUUGUUACUAUAUUAUAAUCAUAAUAAGUGUCAUUAUCAGUUA